rnacentral:rRNA from 1 species
UUGUUAUAAAAACACUUGUCCCUUAACGUACGCAAAAGUUUAGUAUGCUUAA